CGCGGGAUAUGGCCGGACUUUCUCUCAUAACCUGAAGGUCGUAGGUUCAAAUCCUACUCCCGCACCCA
rnacentral:tRNA from 1 species